CACUCGCUAGCUCAGUUGGAAGAGCACUUGACUUUUAAUCAAGGGGUCGAGAGUUCGAAUCUCUCGCGAGUGACCA
rnacentral:tRNA from 1 species